GCCAGGUAGCCUAGUGGUUAGAGCGUUGGGCCAGGUAGCCUAGUGGUUAGAGCGUCGGGCCAGGUAGCCUAGUGGUUAGAGCGUCGGGCCAGGUAGCCUAGUGGUUAGAGCGUCGGGCCAGGUAGCCUAGAGGUUAGAGCGUCGGGCCAGGUAGCCUAGUGGUUAGAGCGUCGGGCCAGGUAGUCUAGUGGUUAGAGCGUCGGGCCAGGUAGCCUAGUGGUUAGAGCGUCGGGCCAGGUAGCCUAGUGGUUAGAGCGUCGGGCCAGGUAGCCUAGUGGUUAGAGCGUCGGGCCAGGUAGCCUAGUGGUUAGAGCGUCGGGCCAGGUAGUCUAGUGGUUAGAGCGUCGGGCCAGGUAGCCUAGUGGUUAGAGCGUCGGGCCAGGUAGUCUAGUGGUUAGAGCGUCGGGCCAGGUAGCCUAGUGGUUAGAGCGUCGGGCCAGGUAGCCUAGUGGUUAGAGCGUCGGGCCAGGUAGCCUAGUGGUUAGAGCGUCGGGCCAGGUAGCCUAGUGGUUAGAGCGUCGGGCCAGGUAGUCUAGUGGUUAGAGCGUCGGGCCAGUAGUGAAAAGUUGCUUGAUUGAAUCUCAGAGCUGGCAAGUUAAAUAUCUGUCGUUCUUCCCUUGAACGAGGCCGUUUAACCCACUGUUCCCUGUCUGCCGACGAUGUCGAUUUAAGGCAGCCCCCCCCCCCCGUACCUCUGAUUCAGAGGUGUUGGGGGGUUCAAUGCGGAAGACGCAUUUCAGUUGGAGGCAUUUAGUUGUACAACUGACUAGGUAUCCCCUCCCUUUCCCCUUUCAAGUAACCCAGGUUGUCUGUAUCCCAAGGCUGCUUCCCAUCCUCAGUGUACUACUUUAGACAAAGGGCUCACAUAGGGACGCAACCCAAGAGUUUUAAAGUGAAAAUAAACCUAUGCACUUUUGUUAUUGCCUGGUUUCACACUCCGUUUAUCAAGCUCUCUAAAAAAAAAUAUGCUACAAAAUAUGUCAUUUUUAGAAAAUAAUAUUGAUGAACAUGUGUGAAUGAUUCGGAUAAUCGUGUCCGUAGAUUCAUGAGUAAUUAUGGGGGUAAAUUCAUCCCUGCAGGGAACAUUAACAUAAUUGCACUUGUAAUGUCCACACGCUCACACCUAUUAGGUGUUUUUAGGUGUUAAUUACUGGCUGUGUAGUCUGUGUACUCACGGCUGUGUAGUCUGUGUGAGAUGGAGUUUUCCAAACAGUUUAUUGUACAGAUGGUGUGUGUGCGUGCGUGCAUGCACACGUUGCAAGCGUUUGUGUGUGUGUGCAUUUGUGUGUGUGUGCGCGUGUUGCCCUGAUUACCCUGAGGGCAUUACAGACCCCCAACAUGGG
ensembl:lncRNA